rnacentral:rRNA from 1 species
CAACGCCGCGUGAGGGAAUGAAGGCCGUUCGGGUCGUAAAACCUCUUUUUCGUUCAAGGGAAGUAGUAAUGACGGUACCUGAGGGAAGAAGCCACGGCUAACUACGUGC